ensembl:lncRNA
GAGUUUAACGCUUCCUUGCCCUCGGUCGGGGUCCUGGACGAGGUCCUGGUCGGGGUCUUGGUCGUGGUCUUGGUUUGGGUCUUGGUCGGGGUCCUGGUCAGGGUCCUGGUCGAGGUUCUGGUCGAGGUUCUGAUCGGGGUCCUGGUUGAGGUUCUGGUCGUGGUCUUGGUCGGGGUCCUGGUCCUGGUUCUGGUCGUGGUUCUGGUCGAAGUUCUGGUCGGGGUCCUGGUCGAGGUUCUGGUCGGGGUCCUGGUCGUGGUCCUGGUCGGGGUCCUGGUUGGGGUCCUGGUCGAGGUUCUGGUCAGGGUCCUGGUCGAGGUUCUGGUCAGGGUCU